ensembl:lncRNA
CUCUGACUUUCCUUUAAAAAUGACAUUAUGGCUGAGUGUACGUUCUUGAUACCUCUAUAAUCUUUUCAAAAACAUUGUGAAUGGUAUUCAACUAUCUUAUGUCAUUUAGUAUUGUUUGAGUAAGUGUAUAAGAAAUAGAACGUUUGUUCUACAUCUGACAAACUUUUUUUUUUUUUUUUUUUGGUCAGCUGCAGAACAAAAGUUAGAUUUUAUUUUCAGGAAAAGUUUAUAAUGCUUGUUGUCCACAGCAUUAUUUGGCCUAUUUUCUUUCUUUUUUUAUUACGAGAGAUUUAGUCCCAUCCAUAUUUUCGCCAAAAACAGGUUAUGUGGUGGUCCUUAUCUUGUCCAUCAAGCCCUUUUUCCCAAAGGAUAACUGAAGGAGAUCACAUACAUUCCAACUUACUGAGUCUGACAGACAUUCAUCUGAUGAGAUCCUCUUCAGCUGAGGAUUGAAAUGCUAUUUUUCUUCCCUGGUACAAUGUUAAAGCUUUAAACUCUUGUCAAUGAUGUGAUGUUUCAUCUGCAAUGAUCUACACUAGAAAAAUAAAAAUGUAGUUACUGACAAAAAAGCAGUAUGGAAUGUGGUAGCUGGUAUAUUCUCCAGUUGUAAGUCAAGAGAAUUUUAGCAUAAGGAACUACUGCUGUAAGGAAAAAAGGAGAGCUACAUGAGGACCACACAACUCCUGGAGGAGGUUUCCCUGGCAACACAACUUUUCCAUUCAUCUGGUUGCAGUGUUUUCAUCCAGUAGCCUGUCACCUCACUCAAAAGCAAGGCAGAUUUAUAAAGGAAGCUGCUGGAGGGAAUUCAUUCCCUUUUCGCUGUUCUGCCUUCCACCUUUCACUGUGUGAGGACACUGCAAGAAAGUCCUCAUCAGACACCAAUUGCCAGCACCUAGAUCUUGGAAUUCUCAGCCUCCAGAACUGUGAGAAAUACAUUUUUAUUUUUCUAUAAAAUAAUAAUAAUAAUAAAAAACUUCCAUGCAGGAAAAAAAAAUCAAGUUCAAAUGUCCUGUGGUGAGGGCAUGCCAGCUUUGUUUGAGAAGCAGUAAUCAUGCCUGUGUGACUGUAAUGAAAGAAUAAAAGAUAAAUUAGCAUGGAAGAAUGUAAUGUAGUCCUUUUCACUUUAAGCAAGAAAUUUGGCUUCAAUUCUAAAUCUGGUAAGAAAAAAAUAGAAGGUUCCAAACUAAGAAGUGACAUGAUAUGAAAUGUUUUAACAGAAUCACCUUCGUUACCAUAUUGCAAAUAAAAUGAAAGUGCAUCAAGGGCAGAAGUAGGAAGGCAAGUUAUGAGAUUGUUUUGAUAAUCCAGAGGAGUUGGGAUGGUGACUUAAAGCAGUAUGGUAGCGAUCGGUUGGGUAAGCACAUGGAAUCCUGGGUAUUUAUUAAAGGUUCAGCAAAAAGGAUUUACAGAUGAAACAGAUAUGGGUCAUGAGAAAGAGUCAAGUUAAAGAUUAUAUCAAAAUUUUUUAUCUGAACAACUCGCAGUGCUGUGGUAAAUCCUUACCCCAACAAUUUACAUGACCAAUAACUGAGUGGGAACAUUAAGGAGGGGAUGGUUUGAGGAAGAAUCAGGAUCUCAGGUUGGAAAUAUUAAGAUGAAUAUGCCUAUUUAACAAUCAAAUGAAAAAUAGUAUUUUUGUAAUUUUCAGUAUUUAUUUGGCAAGAGAUUAAUCUAUAGCACUGUUACUACUUUCUCUUUUUCAUAAAAGUUGUUUUGGUAUAAAAUCAACCUGACUGGAAACUAUUCAAAUAUAUAAGCCUUUAGCUCUGACCUAUUACUUAUAUUUUUUUGCCAUUAAUAAUAUGAAUAUCCACCAAACAAGAACUUGAGACUAUAACUCUUUUCUCCACUAAAUCUUCAUAUUAAAUUAGUCAUUUAAAUAUGAUUAUUCUUUUCAUUUAUUGCUAAAUACUUUCCAUUACAUUCAAACUUAUUGAGACAUCCUUUAAUUUUAUAAUUUAUUUAAUGUAUUAAUUCCCUAGCUUCUAAACUGGUUCUCUCUACUGCAACUCUAUUUUCUUCUUAAUAACUCAUCAUCUACAUUCCCCAAUGUCUUAUUUUUCCAAAACAAAAGUGCACUCAUGUCCUUCUAGGGCAUACAUUUCUUUAAUGGCUUUCUAUUGUUAU